AUUUUUCUUUUCUUUCUUUUUUCUUUUUUUUUGGCUUUAAUAACCAAUAUCACACCAUUCUCACUGCAAGGCACAACUUUUCAUUUACCCAGAACACUCCAGCUAUGGGUCUAUACGGAGGAAACACACCUGGCAGAACGCCCACGACAGGGGCACAGGUGACCAAUGGUCCCCAACUGCCAGGCUCUGAAAUCCAUCAGCACACAUGCUCCAGGUCAUGCUGGCCUCUGUCUGCUCCAGCCAGGGGGCUGAGCACAGGAGGGAUGUGAAGGCAGGCCCCCUUCCUGGGAGACAUAGGACAGCUCUGGGGGUCAAGUUCACUCAAGGACUCCCCAGAACUUCCACUUGGGGCUGGGACGCUGCCCGCAAGCGUCCCUUCCCUCCGGAUCAGAUGCGCACCGCAGUCUGACCACAAUCUCAGCCUUUUCUGGGUCUCUCCCAUUUUCUUCUAAUGAGAUCCUUGCACCUUUAUUUCCCUCUUGGCGCCUCCUUCUCAAAGGAUCCAGAGCACUCCACAGUCCAUACUUCUAUGCAGUCAGGUGUAAGAAGGUAUGAAUCAGUCAUCAAUGAAAUCCAUUCGGGCAUUACAGUGUGUGUGCGUGUGUGUGUGUGUGUGUGUAUGUGUGUGUGUGUGUUUACUUGGGAAUUCCCUGGUUCACAAAUGGCCCAUUGGAAUAGCUAUUCUGGUUCAUUCCAAACAAUGCCAGUCAGGUGGCUAGAGGAAUCACUUUUCUUUCUGAUUUGCCAAAAAUGACUUUUUUUUUCUACUCCUUUCCUGUACACUCUGAUGAUAGAGAACCCACUGUUACGUGGAGCCCAGUACAGGCUCUGGGGCCGUUCACAUGGUGACCCGGGGGCUACAGGACUGAGGUUAAUCCACAGAUGCUCUACCCCGGGGCCUGUCUCUGGUUACCCUCUCCUGUCCUCUGUCCAUUUCCUCAAUUCCCCAAUCCCCAACUGCCUUCUUUCUCCACAUAGAACACCUGCCUGAGUUCAGGUGAUUUGGGUUGUCCGCUGACAUGAAAAUGAAUGGGUGUCCCCCCAACCAGCUAUCUGUCCUUGGUAAAUUUAAGUGAGAGAAAGGAAAGGGAGGCACUGGGGUACAGCAGGAAGCCUUCAGAAGGUGAGAGAGGGAGCAAAGCUGUUGCUGAAGGUGCUGAAAUAUCUAAGCAGAUCCGUUCACUGCUGGACCUUCAGAAGCAAACACAGAGAUUAGGGGAAAAAGGCUCAGAAGUAGUAUCCUCAGCAUCUUACGCCACACCACGGACUGGACCUCUCCCUGGACUCAUCAGCUCCCCUGCGCUGCUCAUUGACCCAGCCCUGGAAGAAAGGCACCACCCUUCUCCCCCAUCACUGUCUGGUUGACAGGAAGGGGAGGGCAAAUGGAAUCUGUGAGUUGGCUGCAGAGGAGAUGGGGAUAUACCCAUAAUGCUGUGCACAGUGGCCAUCACUGGGAUGGCCCAAAGAAAACUCAACAGGUCCAAAAUGGAAGGUCCAUCUCUUUCCUCCCUGCUCUUCUAUCCGGUACCCUAUUCAGUUGGUGAUGACAUAAAGCGGCACCUCCUAAACGUGUCCCCUUAGAAACCCAAGAUGAGGACGAGGACUCUCAGAACCAUCUUUGGGUGAAUUAUGAGUUCAACAUUUGUUACGAUGGCUUAUCACCAUCCGUCUAUGGCAAAACACAUUCUGAGUUCCAAACAACAGACUUCAAAUAAACAGUGGAAUAUGAUCCAUUCAUAAGUUGGGUAAUAGCUGUGCUAAUGAUGUGGGAUACAUCCUCAUUUAGAAAAUUAUCAUUAUCAUUAAUCAGAGUUAUUCAUUUGUAACCUGAUAUAUUUGGAGCUCAGCUUGAUUUCUUUUAGGUCUUUUAACUUGUGAGUUUAGCGGUAAGUUUAGUGGUAAGACUACAUUUGUUUCUGUGAAUAAUGUUGCUUUGUGCUCUUAUACCCCAUUAAACCUUGGUACAGGUCUUCAAUAUCAUCAGAUAACAUUUGGAGGAGAAUUUUUUUUUUUUUUUUAAAUGGCUGCACCCAUGGCAUAUGGAAGCUCCUGGGGUCAGGGAUUGAAUCCAAGCCACAGGGGUGACCUAUGGCGCACCUGCGGCAACACUGUAUCCUUUAACCCACUGUGCCAAGCCAAUCAGUGGGAUGCAGUUGUCCCAAACCAUGCCUCUGCAGAUGCAGCGACCUGAGAAAUUGCAAGUCCAAUUCUGAGGAUCUUAACCCACUGCACCACAGAGGGAACUCCACGGAGGACCCUUUAGAUUUAAAUCUAAUGUGAUGAUUCUCCAAGUGUGGUCUCAGGACCUACAGCAAUGAGCAUCCCCUGGGAAUUGUUAGAAAUGCAAAUUCUCAGCCUGAAGUCAUCCUGCUAAAUCAGAACCUCUGGGGGCGGGGCCCAGAAUAGUGUUUCAACAAGCUCUCCUCCAGGCGAUCCAGAUCUUUGCUCAAGUUUGGGAACCACUGAUCUCAUCCACCUAUCUUGAGGCUGGGGUGAAAUCAGUCAUGGGUCAAUUAAACUGUUUUAUUGUCUGUAAUUAUCCCUAUAAAGAGCACAAAACUAGCUCCAAGAAGGAGUCUGGUCUAUUAAGAGUUUCCAGUCAUGUUGGGGAAAUUCACACACUUGAAAUUAACAGAAAACUAACAGGCCAAUACAUAAUUACAUGUAUGCUAUCAAACGGCACCAAAGGUUAUUCAAGAGCAGGGACCACUUUCCUUAAAUUUGAUCUAUUUCAGAUAUGAUUCAAGAUCUGCCUUACAAAUAUAUAAUUAAUAUUGAUGGGAAGGUGGGAUGUUCUUGUUAAGGAAAGAAAGUGGCUGAAGUCUUUCUUCCUGGACCCCAAGAAUUGGAUUAGAGGAACAUUUAAUCUCACCAUGCUUUGUUUUCCCCAUCACAGACAAUGAUGGCUCCACAGUCCUUCUCAGUAAACCAUGCUAGUAUUUUACCACCGUGAAAGUUACGAGUUUUUUUAUGCUCAGCUAAAAUCUGUUCUCAUUGACCGGAAAGAAAGAAAAAAAGCUCUUCACAGCUAAUUCGUAAGUGACACGGAGGGUGAAAUGGGAAAGUGUUCAGUAAAGUUUGAAACGUUACAUGGAAGGUAGAUCUCUGUUAUUACUGUAAUUAUUAUCAUUGUUUGAUUUAAAGAGUUGCACUGCUUCUGGAUGAGAGGCUUAAUGAUUUUGUUGAUUCUAAAAUGACAAUAUGAGAGGGGAAGGUUCACAUUCAGUUUAAAAUUUUUAAAAAAUCUAUUUUUUUAUUCCUUCCGUAGAUGUGUCUGAAAAGGUACAACAGACAAAUCAAAAGCCCCAGGCUUCCUUUUCAAUCUUCAGAUGAUAUUUUUUUUUUAAGUCGCUGAAAUGACAUAAAAUCAAAUCCCUUUGAAAGGUGGAUGGCCUCACAUACAAUUCCAAAGACCUCAUCCUAAAACUUAAAAAAAGGAAUAAUUCACUCAUUUUUGAUGGCCAUUAAUUCAUUUAAGUUACAAAAGUACCAUUUAGUAAAUUACCUUUUCCAGGGAGCCCGGUGACCUCAGGAGGGCCUGAAAGUGUUAAAUCACCUUCAAAGAGCGGUCAGUUUACCCUCUAAUCACUGAUAACAUGAGUCCAAAUAGCCUCAAAUUUCUUUAGUGCUGGAUUCUGAUCAACAAAAAGCACUUCUAUAGGCACUAUUAACUUCCCCCUUCACACCAUGGUGAGGGUGGGAAAGGGGAGCCCGUGAGAAAGAUUUUAGAAUUUCCCCAGGAGGGUAAAGGAAUAUCACAGCUUUCAAAAUUUUUAAUUAUAAAUUCAUGCAAUAAUUGCAAAGCAAUAUUAUCAAAUGUCAUUGCGGGGGGUGGGGGCAUGUUUUAGGAUGCUAAGGAAGACAUCUAGCCUACUAACUUCUUGACUCCAAUUUAUGUUUUCAGGCUUACUGGGGAGUAUAUGGUAUUAGUAUGUAUGAAUAUAUGUAUGUAUGUGUGUAUGUAUGUAUUUUGGCUUUUAUUUUUUGCACUAGCAGCAUAUGGAAGUUCCAGGCUAGGGGGUCAUAGUGGAGCUACAGCUGCUGGCUUAUGUCACAGCCACAGCAAUGUGGGAUCUGUGACCUCCAUCACAGCUCAUGGCAAGGCCAGAUCCCCGACCCACAGAGCAAAGCCAGGGAUUGAACCCACAUCCUCACGUAUACCAGUCAGAUUCAUUUCCGAUGCACCGCAACGGGAACUCCCGGUAUUAAAAUUUAGAUUUGGGUCUGGGGGGGAAGCUUUCUGAAUUUUUUUUCAGACAGUUGUGGGAGGUCAACAUCCUUGUUCAUGAGGAGUCUGCGGGGGGCAGGUGUCCGAGCUGGACCAGGAAAGGUGAGGCAUCCGCUGUGGCAUCUGGAUGUAGCAAGGUCAGGGUGACGUCUUCACCUCUUCAUGCAGCCUUCACUGGGGCUGCGAUUGGGCGCUCUUACCCCCAGGUCAUAAAUUAAGUCCAGUCCACAAGCUACCUUAUCAUUUUCAAUAAACUGAUGACUAAAAGCUUCCCCAGGAGUCAUAGUUCAUCAUUAAAAAUACACAUCAGAUACGACGAACCUAUAAUUGGAAACCCACAGGUAGAGGAACUACAUAGAGAUUUCACACCGUCAGGCAAAAGGUGGUUCCUCCUUCAGUUCUUCCCAGAUGUUUCUCCAGUUUUCAGUUUCAUGGAUGGCUUGUUAUGUACUCAUCGGACAAAUUUCAAGGAAAAGCUCUAACCCUCAAUGGGGAGGGAUGCUAAAAGACCCCAUAAAGGAGAUAAAGUAAAAGAUAAUGACUUCACAUGUGAAAAGGAAGAGAAAUUUUUUCUCACCAUCAACUAAAACAGAAUUUACUUACUGAGAAGGUUAUUAAUCCAUUUGACUGACCAAGUGGGUCUUUCACUUUUGGUUAAGACUUAGCACUUGGGGGAGUUCCUGUUGUGGCUCAGUGAAAAUGAAUCCAACUAGUAACCAUGAGGUUUCAGGGAUCAGGUUUGAUCCCUGGCCUCACUUAGUGGGUUGGGCAUCUGGUGCUGCUGUGAGCUGUAGUGUAGGUCCACAGAUGCAGCUCAGAUCCUGCGUUGCUGUGGCUGUGGUAUAGGCUGGCAGCUGCAGCUCCAAUUUGACCCCGAGCCAGGGAACUUCCAAAUGCCAUGGGUAUGACCCUAAAAAAAAAAAAAAAAAAAAAAAAA
rnacentral:lncRNA from 1 species